rnacentral:lncRNA from 1 species
UGAGUUUUCCAGGUCAACAGAGUUGUGUACCUAGGAGGAUUAUUGCUGCCUUUGCUGAGUCAUGCAGGUUGUCAGGGGAGUAGGGGAAAGCUGGCAGUCACAGGCUUCACCCAGCUCCCACACAAUCUGAAGAGCUGGUCUCACUCCCACUGUGCCACCUCCAACAGCACAGAGUCUGUUUCCAGGCAGCAGGCAAGCAGGGCUUGAGAACUUUCCCCAGGCUACCCGCCUCCCAGCUGUGAAAGAAAAGGACUUUAGUUCUUCCCCCACCUGUGGAAUCUGCUGGCUGGAUUCAUGCCCUCCAGCAAGUUCUGGCCAGGAGGCUUCUCACCUGGUUCAAAUUGUUACAAAGUUCAGCUGGAGACUUCCUUCUCCCUGUGGCAUUUUCCCCAUACCUCUGGACACCCUCCUGAAGGAUCCCUGUGGUGCCAGGCAUGAAUGGCCUGCUUGGGGACCCAAUGAGUUCCCAGGACCCUUCCUGCUGCUUCUUCUACCCUUGUAUUUUGCUUGGCUGUCUAAAUUGACUCAGCUCCAGGUAAGGUCAGAAACUUCUGCAAACCUUCCGUUUCCCCAGUAGGGGUGUGUGUUCAGGAGCAGAGGAUCUCCCUUUUCUACUUCCACAGUUUGGGCACUCACAGUAUCUGGGGUGUCUCCCAGGUCGUGCAGGAUCACUCUGCUUCCUUCAGAGGGUCUGUGGGUCCUCUGGGGAUUCAUGGUUUGUUCUUGCAGUCAUUCUGGAGCUAAAAUUCACGAUGCGAGCCUCCGCAUGCCGCUCUGUCUGAGUAGGAGCUGCAAUCUAGUCCUGCCUCUCAUCCACCGUGAUGAUCUCCUUAAUUGCUGCUGCUCACCUCCCGCUAUGCAGCUCAGUUCCUAACAGGACACAGACUGGUACAGAUCUGUGGCUUGGGGGUUGGGGACCCACAAUUAUGGAGGUUGAGAAGUUCCUAGGAUCUGCAGACAGCAAGCUGGAGACCUGUGAGAGCCAGAGAUGUAAAUUCCAGUCUGAGUUCAAAGUCCUGAGAACCAGGAGAGUUGGUGGCAGUCUCAGAGAGUAGGAGAAAACUGAUGUCCCAGCUUAACUGUCAGUCACAAAGAGAGCGUGAAUUAUUUCUUCCUCCAUGUCUUUGUGCUAUUUUGGGCCCCAGUGGCUUUAAUAUUUGGAGAAGUGAG